rnacentral:rRNA from 1 species
UAAGGAAUAUUGGUCAAUGGACGCAAGUCUGAACCAGCCAUGCCGCGUGGAGGAUGAAGGUCCUCUGGAUUGUAAACUUCUUUUAUAUGGGACGAAAAAGGAUCUUUCCAGAUCAACUGACGGUACCAUAUGAAUAAGCACCGGCUAACUCCGUGCCAGCAGCCGCGGUAAUACGGAGGGUGCAAGCGUUAUCCGGAUUCACUGGGUUUAAAGGGUGCGUAGGUGGGUUGGUAAGUCAGUGGUGAAAUCCCCGAGCUUAACUUGGGAACUGCCAUUGAUACUAUCAGUCUUGAAUACUGUGGAGGUCAGCGGAAUAUGUCAUGUAGCGGUGAAAUGCUUAGAUAUGACAUAGAACACCAAUUGCGAAGGCAGCUGGCUACACAAAUAUUGACACAGGGGCACGAAAGCGUGGGGAUCAAAC